rnacentral:rRNA from 2 species
UUGAAGAGUUUGAUCAUGGCUCAGAUUGAACGCUGGCGGCAGGCCUAACACAUGCAAGUCGAGCGGUAGCACAGAGAGCUUGCUCUCGGGUGACGAGCGGCGGACGGGUGAGUAAUGUCUGGGAAACUGCCUGAUGGAGGGGGAUAACUACUGGAAACGGUAGCUAAUACCGCAUAACGUCGCAAGACCAAAGUGGGGGACCUUCGGGCCUCAUGCCAUCAGAUGUGCCCAGAUGGGAUUAGCUGGUAGGUGGGGUAACGGCUCACCUAGGCGACGAUCCCUAGCUGGUCUGAGAGGAUGACCAGCCACACUGGAACUGAGACACGGUCCAGACUCCUACGGGAGGCAGCAGUGGGGAAUAUUGCACAAUGGGCGCAAGCCUGAUGCAGCCAUGCCGCGUGUGUGAAGAAGGCCUUCGGGUUGUAAAGCACUUUCAGCGGGGAGGAAGGCGGUGAGGUUAAUAACCUCACCGAUUGACGUUACCCGCAGAAGAAGCACCGGCUAACUCCGUGCCAGCAGCCGCGGUAAUACGGAGGGUGCAAGCGUUAAUCGGAAUUACUGGGCGUAAAGCGCACGCAGGCGGUCUGUCAAGUCGGAUGUGAAAUCCCCGGGCUCAACCUGGGAACUGCAUUCGAAACUGGCAGGCUAGAGUCUUGUAGAGGGGGGUAGAAUUCCAGGUGUAGCGGUGAAAUGCGUAGAGAUCUGGAGGAAUACCGGUGGCGAAGGCGGCCCCCUGGACAAAGACUGACGCUCAGGUGCGAAAGCGUGGGGAGCAAACAGGAUUAGAUACCCUGGUAGUCCACGCUGUAAACGAUGUCGAUUUGGAGGUUGUGCCCUUGAGGCGUGGCUUCCGGAGCUAACGCGUUAAAUCGACCGCCUGGGGAGUACGGCCGCAAGGUUAAAACUCAAAUGAAUUGACGGGGGCCCGCACAAGCGGUGGAGCAUGUGGUUUAAUUCGAUGCAACGCGAAGAACCUUACCUGGUCUUGACAUCCACAGAACUUUCCAGAGAUGGAUUGGUGCCUUCGGGAACUGUGAGACAGGUGCUGCAUGGCUGUCGUCAGCUCGUGUUGUGAAAUGUUGGGUUAAGUCCCGCAACGAGCGCAACCCUUAUCCUUUGUUGCCAGCGGUCCGGCCGGGAACUCAAAGGAGACUGCCAGUGAUAAACUGGAGGAAGGUGGGGAUGACGUCAAGUCAUCAUGGCCCUUACGACCAGGGCUACACACGUGCUACAAUGGCAUAUACAAAGAGAAGCGACCUCGCGAGAGCAAGCGGACCUCAUAAAGUAUGUCGUAGUCCGGAUUGAGUCUGCAACUCGACUCCAUGAAGUCGGAAUCGCUAGUAAUCGUAGAUCAGAAUGCUACGGUGAAUACGUUCCCGGGCCUUGUACACACCGCCCGUCACACCAUGGGAGUGGGUUGCAAAAGAAGUAGGUAGCUUAACCUUCGGGAGGGCGCUUACCACUUUGUGAUUCAUGACUGGGGUGAAGUCGUAACAAGGUAACCGUAGGGGAACCUGCGGUUGGAUCACCUCCUU